GGGGGCGAACGGGUUCGACAGAGCCGGAUCGACUCUUAGUUGCGAGCCGUGGAUUCUCGUUGGCCACGUAAAAAACGGGAAAAAAAGUAGCUGCGAAUAACAACUACGCCUUCGCUGCCUAAUUUAGGCUAGCGGGUCCGUCGUUCUCGAGCCGGUAGGGAGCGUUCACGGGUCUAAUAAAAUCCGGAUCGGUUGGCAAGCUUCCGUCUGUAGCGAGCCGAUCUAAAUAAAUCAGACUGGACGACCGCCCAGGCGGCCCCGGCAGAGGGCGGCGUCGAGAUAAAGUACAGGGGAGACGCUCGUGGUUAAUUGAGAGGCCGACGGUUUUGGAAGGGAGUUCAACUCUCCCCGCCUCCACCA
rnacentral:tmRNA from 1 species